rnacentral:rRNA from 1 species
CAGUCGCCGCGGGAAAACGAGGGGAGCUAGCGUUGUUCGGAAUUACUGGGCGUAAAGCGCGCGUAGGCGGCUUUUUAAGUCAGAGGUGAAAGCCCGGGGCUCAACCCCGGAAUUGCCUUUGAAACUGGAAAGCUAGAAUCUUGGAGAGGUCAGUGGAAUUCCGAGUGUAGAGGUGAAAUUCGUAGAUAUUCGGAAGAACACCAGUGGCGAAGGCGACUGACUGGACAAGUAUUGACGCUGAGGUGCGAAAGCGUGGGGAGCAAACAGGAUUAGACCCCCGUAGUCCCUGUCUCUUAUACAC